rnacentral:rRNA from 1 species
CGUAGGGUGCAAGCGUUGUCCGGAAUUAUUGGGCGUAAAGAGCUCGUAGGCGGUUUGUCGCGUCUGGUGUGAAAGUCCAUCGCUUAACGGUGGAUUGGCGCUGGGUACGGGCAGGCUAGAGUGUAGUAGGGGAGACUGGAAUUCUCGGUGUAACGGUGGAAUGUGUAGAUAUCGGGAAGAACACCAAUGGCGAAGGCAGGUCUCUGGGCUAUUACUGACGCUGAGGAGCGAAAGCGUGGGGAGCGAACAGGAUU